AUGAUGUCCAUCACCAAGCCGGAACACUCCGAGGCCAACCCUCAGUGCCAGACUGUCAGCCGGCCGGUGGCUGAGCCCGAGACCCCCGCUGUUCACAAUAAUAGUGGAGGCUGGCUCAGCUGGGUCUUGGGAGUGGAAGAGUUAAUAAGAAGGAGAUUAAUCUACCUGAGGACAAAGACAGAUCUAUUGUCUGGGAUCCAACUCUGCACAGAUGGGUUAACAAAACUGAGCCCAACAUUCGCCUUCCUCUCCUCUGAAGACCCAGUGAGGGUGGAGCUCAGAGAGCUGUUGAGGGACUGGUUAGGAAGAACACUUCUACAGCCAGAGAGAUGAGAGGUCACAGAUGGUUUAAAUGGUAAAUAUUUAUGUCCCUUUAGUGGUUCAUCACGUAAGCAAAAGGGA
rnacentral:lncRNA from 1 species